rnacentral:rRNA from 1 species
AUUGAACGCUGGCGGCAGGCCUAACACAUGCAAGUCGAGCGAGCGGCGGACGGGUGAGUAAUGUCUGGGAACCUGCCUGAUGGAGGGGGAUAACUACUGGAAACGGUAGCUAAUACCGCAUACCAUCAGAUGUGCCCAGAUGGGAUUAGCUAGUAGGUGGGGUAACGGCUCCCCUAGGCGACGAUCCCUAGCUGGUCUGAGAGGAUGACCAUCAACACGGGAACUGAGCGCCGGGCCACACUCCUACGUGAGGCAGCAGGGGGGAAUAUUGCACAAUGGGCGCAAGCCGGAUGCAGCCAUGCCGCGUGUGUGACGAAGCCCUUCGGGUUGUAAAGCACUUUCAGCGGGGAGGCGUUACCCGCAGAAGAAGCACCGGCUAACUCCGUGCCAGCAGCCGCGGUAAUAC